rnacentral:rRNA from 1 species
UAGGGAAUCUUCGGCAAUGGGGGGAACCCUGACCGAGCAACGCCGCGUGAGUGAAGAAGGUUUUCGGAUCGUAAAGCUCUGUUGUUAAGGAAGAACGAGUGUGAGAAUGGAAAGUUCAUGCUGUGACGGUACUUAACCGGAAAGGGACGGCUAACUACGUACCAGCAGCCGCGGUAAUACGUCGGUCCCGAGCGUGGUCCGGAUUUAUUGGGCGUAAAGCGAGCGCAGGAGGUUAGAAAAGUCUGAAGUGAAAGGCAGUGGCUCAACCGUAGUAGGCUUUGGAAACUGUUUAACUUGAAUGCAGAAGGGGAGAGUGGAAUUCGAUGUGUAGCGGUGAAAUGCGUAGAUAUAUGGAGGAACACCGGUGGCGAAGGCGGGUCUCUGGUCUGUAACUGACGCUGAGGCUUGAAAGCGUGGGGAGCGAACAGG